rnacentral:rRNA from 1 species
UACGAAGGGGGCGAGCGUUGUUCGGAAUCACUGGGCGUAAAGGGCGCGUAGGCGGCCCUCUUAGUCGCGUGUGAAAGCCCCGGGCUCAACCUGGGAACGGCGCGCGAGACGGGAGGGCUGGAGUUCGGGAGAGGAGAGUGGAAUUCCGAGUGUAGAGGUGAAAUUCGUAGAUAUUCGGAAGAACACCAGUGGCGAAGGCGACUAACUGGACGUGUAUUGACGCUGAGGUACGAAAGCGUGGGGAGCAAACAGG